UGCGAAGGGGGCUAGCGUUGCUCGGAAUCACUGGGCGUAAAGCGCACGUAGGCGGAUCUUUAAGUCAGAGGUGAAAUCCCAAGGCUCAACCUUGGAACUGCCUUUGAUACUGGGGAUCUCGAGUCCGGAAGAGGUGAGUGGAACUGCGAGUGUAGAGGUGAAAUUCGUAGAUAUUCGCAAGAACACCAGUGGCGAAGGCGGCUCACUGGUCCGGUACUGACGCUGAGGUGCGAAAGCGUGGGGAGCAAACAGG
rnacentral:rRNA from 1 species